GAUGAACGCUGGCGGCGUGCCUAAUACAUGCAAGUCGAGCGAACGGACGAGAAGCUUGCUUCUCUGAUGUUAGCGGCGGACGGGUGAGUAACACGUGGAUAACCUACCUAUAAGACUGGGAUAACUUCGGGAAACCGGAGCUAAUACCGGAUAAUAUUUUGAACCGCAUGGUUCAAAAGUGAAAGACGGUCUUGCUGUCACUUAUAGAUGGAUCCGCGCUGCAUUAGCUAGUUGGUAAGGUAACGGCUUACCAAGGCAACGAUGCAUAGCCGACCUGAGAGGGUGAUCGGCCACACUGGAACCGAGACACGGUCCAGACUCCUACGGGAGGCAGCAGUAGGGAAUCUUCCGCAAUGGGCGAAAGCCUGACGGAGCAACGCCGCGUGAGUGAUGAAGGUCUUCGGAUCGCAAAACUCUGUUAUUAGGGAAGAACAUAUGUGUAAGUAACUGUGCACAUCUUGACGGUACCUAAUCAGAAAGCCACGGCUAACUACGUGCCAGCAGCCGCGGUAAUACGUAGGUGGCAAGCGUUAUCCGGAAUUAUUGGGCGUAAAGCGCGCGUAGGCGGUUUUUUAAGUCUGAUGUGAAAGCCCACGGCUCAACCGUGGAGGGUCAUUGGAAACUGGAAAACUUGAGUGCAGAAGAGGAAAGUGGAAUUCCAUGUGUAGCGGUGAAAUGCGCAGAGAUAUGGAGGAACACCAGUGGCGAAGGCGACUUUCUGGUCUGUAACUGACGCUGAUGUGCGAAAGCGUGGGGAUCAAACAGGAUUAGAUACCCUGGUAGUCCACGCCGUAAACGAUGAGUGCUAAGUGUUAGGGGGUUUCCGCCCCUUAGUGCUGCAGCUAACGCAUUAAGCACUCCGCCUGGGGAGUACGACCGCAAGGUUGAAACUCAAAGGAAUUGACGGGGACCCGCACAAGCGGUGGAGCAUGUGGUUUAAUUCGAAGCAACGCGAAGAACCUUACCAAAUCUUGACAUCCUUUGACAACUCUAGAGAUAGAGCUUUCCCCUUCGGGGGACAAAGUGACAGGUGGUGCAUGGUUGUCGUCAGCUCGUGUCGUGAGAUGUUGGGUUAAGUCCCGCAACGAGCGCAACCCUUAAGCUUAGUUGCCAUCAUUAAGUUGGGCACUCUAAGUUGACUGCCGGUGACAAACCGGAGGAAGGUGGGGAUGACGUCAAAUCAUCAUGCCCCUUAUGAUUUGGGCUACACACGUGCUACAAUGGACAAUACAAAGGGCAGCGAAACCGCGAGGUCAAGCAAAUCCCAUAAAGUUGUUCUCAGUUCGGAUUGUAGUCUGCAACUCGACUACAUGAAGCUGGAAUCGCUAGUAAUCGUAGAUCAGCAUGCUACGGUGAAUACGUUCCCGGGUCU
rnacentral:rRNA from 1 species